rnacentral:rRNA from 1 species
GAUGAACGCUGGCGGCGUGCCUAAUACAUGCAAGUCGAGCGAACGGACGAGAAGCUUGCUUCUCUGAUGUUAGCGGCGGACGGGUGAGUAACACGUGGAUAACCUACCUAUAGGACUGGGAUAACUUCGGGAAACCGGAGCUAAUACCGGAUAAUAUUUUGAACCGCAUGGUUCAAAAGUGAAAGACGGUCUUGCUGUCACUUAUAGAUGGAUCCGCGCUGCAUUAGCUAGUUGGUAAGGUAACGGCUUACCAAGGCAACGAUGCAUAGCCGACCUGAGAGGGUGAUCGGCCACACUGGAACUGAGACACGGUCCAGACUCCUACGGGAGGCAGCAGUAGGGAAUCUUCCGCAAUGGGCGAAAGCCUGACGGAGCAACGCCGCGUGAGUGAUGAAGGUCUUCGGAUCGUAAAACUCUGUUAUUAGGGAAGAACAUAUGUGUAAGUAACUGUGCACAUCUUGACGGUACCUAAUCAGAAAGCCACGGCUAACUACGUGCCAGCAGCCGCGGUAAUACGUAGGUGGCAAGCGUUAUCCGGAAUUAUUGGGCGUAAAGCGCGCGUAGGCGGUUUUUUUAAGUCUGAUGUGAAAGCCCACGGCUCAACCGUGGAGGGUCAUUGGAAACUGGAAAACUUGAGUGCAGAAGAGGAAAGUGGAAUUCCAUGUGUAGCGGUGAAAUGCGCAGAGAUAUGGAGGAACACCAGUGGCGAAGGCGACUUUCUGGUCUGUAACUGACGCUGAUGUGCGAAAGCGUGGGGAUCAAACAGGAUUAGAUACCCUGGUAGUCCACGCCGUAAACGAUGAGUGCUAAGUGUUAGGGGGUUUCCGCCCCUUAGUGCUGCAGCUAACGCAUUAAGCACUCCGCCUGGGGAGUACGACCGCAAGGUUGAAACUCAAAGGAAUUGACGGGGACCCGCACAAGCGGUGGAGCAUGUGGUUUAAUUCGAAGCAACGCGAAGAACCUUACCAAAUCUUGACAUCCUUUGACAACUCUAGAGAUAGAGCCUUCCCCUUCGGGGGACAAAGUGACAGGUGGUGCAUGGUUGUCGUCAGCUCGUGUCGUGGGAUGUUGGGUUAAGUCCCGCAACGAGCGCAACCCUUAAGCUUAGUUGCCAUCAUUAAGUUGGGCACUCUAAGUUGACUGCCGGUGACAAACCGGAGGAAGGUGGGGAUGACGUCAAAUCAUCAUGCCCCUUAUGAUUUGGGCUACACACGUGCUACAAUGGACAAUACAAAGGGCAGCGAAACCGCGAGGUCAAGCAAAUCCCAUAAAGUUGUUCUCAGUUCGGAUUGUAGUCUGCAACUCGACUACAUGAAGCUGGAAUCGCUAGUAAUCGUAGAUCAGCAUGCUACGGAGAAUACGUUCCCGGGUCU